rfam:Papio anubis isolate 1X1155 chromosome 6, whole genome shotgun sequence.
AAACAGGGCCAUACCACCCUGAACGCGCCUGAUCUCGUCUGAUCUCGGAAGCUAAGCAGGGUCGGGCCUGGUUAGUACUUGGAUGGGAGAGGAGGGUUAAUCUUGACUA